rnacentral:misc_RNA from 1 species
GAAGAAUCAACUAAUCUGAAAAAGAAAGGACGAUGUUUUCUUCUCCUAAGACAAGUGCUUGUUCUUUGGUGCUGCCAAUUAUUUUGGCAGCGCUAGUACUAGUGCACCAAUCUAAUGCUCAAUUAAGUGCUACGUUCUAUGCUACCACAUGCACUAAUGUGUCUGCCAUUGUUACUAGUGUUAUUCAACAGGCCCUUCAAUCCGAUUCUCGGAUCGGCGCAAGUCUUAUUCGCCUUCAUUUUCAUGAUUGCUUUGUUAAUGGAUGCGAUGCUUCACUUUUGCUAGACAGUACUUCAAGCAUACUGAGUGAGAAAUUUGCCGCUCCAAACGUUAACUCUGCUCGGGGUUUUGAUGUCGUUGACAAUAUCAAAACUGCUGUGGAAAAUUCUUGCCCUGGUGUUGUCUCCUGUGCGGAUAUUCUUGCACUCGCAGCUGAAGCUUCUGUUUCUUUGGUAAGUCAGUAUCAAUCCCCACCAAAAACUUCCAUUUCCUGUUAUAUUUGGCAAGUAAAAGAUGAUACAGCGCUUGCCACUCACUUUGAUGCUUCCAGUCAGGAGGACCAUCCUGGAAUGUACUGUUGGGAAGAAGGGAUAGUCUCACAGCAAAUCAGGCUGGAGCAAAUACAUCUAUUCCUUCUCCUUUUGAAGGUCUAAGCAACAUUACUUCUAAGUUCUCUGCAGUGGGUCUAAACACCAAUGAUCUUGUCGCAUUAUCAGGUGCUCACACAUUUGGACGUGCUCAAUGUCGAACAUUUAGCAACCGGCUGUUCAAUUUUAGCGGCACAGGCAGCCCUGACCCAACAUUGAACACAACUUACUUGGCUACUCUGCAACAAACAUGUCCACAGGGUGGAAGUGGAUCUACUCUGGCUAAUCUUGAUCCCACGACACCAGAUAGUUUUGACAAUAACUAUUUCACGAACCUGCAGAAUAAUCAGGGCCUUCUUCAAUCUGAUCAGGAACUAUUUUCGACCACAGGUGCUGCCACGAUCGCUAUUGUUAACAGCUUCAGUAGCAGCCAAACUGCCUUCUUCCAGAGUUUUGCUCAGUCCAUGAUUAAUAUGGGAAACAUUAGUCCAUUAACUGGAAGUAAUGGAGAGAUAAGAGCAGAUUGUAAGAAGGUGAAUGGGAGUUAGGCUAUGAGAUUGCUUGUGAAAUCACGACAAAUCCAGGGAUCCCUUUUUCUUUUUUCUUUAAAUAAAAAAAUCAUAUUGAAUAGCCCUAAGGGAGUGUUUGCAAGUUGCAGAACUUUCAUGAUUUAUUAGGUAAAGUUGUUGGCCGUAAUUUUUGGAUUAAAGUAAAUCAAGUGUAUGUCUUAAUAGGCAAUAUAAUUUAUAGAAUAAAUAUAAGAGUUUGUAUUGCUAGUAUGAUUAUA